AGAGUUUGAUCCUGGCUCAGGAUAAACGCUGGCGGUGUGCUUUAUGCAUGCAAGUCGAACGGUACCGAUGAGCCAAGCUUGCUUGGAACAUCGGGAGAGUGGCAAACGGGUGAGUAACACGUAAGUAACCUGCCCCUAAGUAGGGGAUAACUCUGAGAAAUCGGAGCUAAUACCGUAUGUGGUGGUGGAGGUAAGGCUUCAUCACUAAAGCCUUCGGGCGCUUGGGGAGGGGCUUGUGUCCGAUUAGCUAGUUGGUAGGGUAACGGUUUACCAAGGCGAUGAUCGGUAGCUGGUCUGAGAGGACGAUCAGCCACACUGGGACUGAGAUACGGCCCAGACUCCUAUGGGAGGCAGCAGCAAGGAAUUUUGUGCAAUGGGCGAAAGCCUGACACAGCGACACCGCGUGGGGGAUGAAGGCCUUCGGGUUGUAAACCUCUUUUCUCAGGGAAGAAUAAUGACGGUACCUGAGGAAUAAGUCUCGGCUAACUACGUGCCAGCAGCCGCGGUAAUACGUAGGAGGCGAGCGUUAUCCGGAUUUACUGGGCGUAAAGAGGGCGUAGGCGGCUUUUCAAGUCGGGUGUGAAAUCUCCCCGCUUAAUGGGGAGGGGUCAUUCGAUACUGUUAAGCUAGAGGACAGCAGAGGGAGGUGGAAUUCCCGGUGGAGUGGUGAAAUGCGUAGAUAUCGGGAGGAACACCAGUGGCGAAGGCGGCCUCCUGGGCUGUUUCUGACGUUGAGGCCCGAAAGCGUGGGGAGCGAACAGGAUUAGAUACCCUGGUAGUCCACGCUGUCAACGAUGGAUACUAGGUAUAGGGAGUAUCGACCCUCUAAGCCGAAUUCUGCAGAUAUCCAUCACACUGGCGGCCGCUCGAGCAUGCAUCUAGAGGGCCCAAUUCGCCCUAUAGUGAGUCGUAUUACAAUUCACUGGCCGUCGUUUUACAACGUCGUGACUGGGAAAACA
rnacentral:rRNA from 1 species